GAUGAAGAACGCAGCGAAAUGCGAUAAGUAAUGUGAAUUGCAGAAUUCAGUGAAUCAUCGAAUCUUUGAACGCACCUUGCACUCCUUGGUAUUCCGAGGAGUACGCCUGUUCGAGUGUUAUGAAGCUCUCAAAACGCAAUUGGCUUAAAACCUGAUUGUUGUUUUGGAUUUGAACUUUGCCGUGUUAUAACGGCUGGUUUUAAAAGUAUUAGCUGGUACUAGAACGAAUUGGUUCUACUCAACGUGAUAAUUAUCUGAUCGUUGAGGACAUUCCUUUCACGAGGAAUGGCCAUAGUAAAUUCAAUGGACUGCUUCUAAUCUGGCUUUAAUUCUUUAUUGGAUUUACCACUUUUCAAAUCUGACCUCGAAUCAGGUGGGACUACCCGCUGAACUUAAGCAUAUCAAUAAGCGGAGGA
rnacentral:misc_RNA from 1 species